AGUAGCCAAUAUGCAUUGAGCGUCUACAUUGCAUCAGGGAUGGGGCUCGGCACUGAGGACAGAGCGGUGAACGAGAUGGACACAGGCUGGCUGUGCCUGCAUUUCACGGAGAAGAAGACCAAGAUACAAAGAGAUGAAGUUAUUUGUUCACGUUAUAGCAUGAAUAUGUGGCCAACCUUGGAUUGUGGACCCAGGUGGUCUGGCUACAAAGCCCCUGCUCUUGCCUUCAUUCUAUGCUGCUUCACACAGUUAAGAGUACAACUGGCCAAGAACUCUAAGAAGCAGGUAACGCUACAGAUGCUCCAAGAUUCUUAACGUCUGCCACUAGACUUCAAAAUGAUGCUCUUUAACAGUGUUGGUG